AUUAACCAAGGCAGCAAUCUGCAUGUGUGAGCCUGAAAAACUAUACUGCCUGGAAAAUGAGCAGGAAAACCAUGACAGCAACGAUAAAAAAAGAGCUGAGCUGCCGCCGUCUAAUGAAUGUGCAGUCUGAGGGGGCGCGGGAAGCCCCCAGUGCUGGGGUGAAGAUGGAAAAGUACAGCCCGAGAAAGAGGAUAACAUCUCCGACUCUACUGGAGCGUGUGCAGAGGAGAGCACACGGCCCACGGUGACAUAUACGUACACACCGCGCCGCAACAACGGUGUACUCACACUGAGCUGCAGGUUGUCCAUCCACUGCCCCACCACCUUGUAUCCCGGAGAGCUGUUGUUGUUCAUCUGGUACUGGAACAGGUCGUAGCGUCCCGGGGCGUCUCCGUUCCUGUUGAACGUCACCGAGGUGCCUGCACUGCCUACAGGAGGAGAAGACGAUGACACGUGAAGAUCGCCCAGGGAAGACGAUGACGUGGAGAUCACCAUUUCACACACUUUCCUCAGUCCAGGGCCAUGCUUUUCACACGGCUUGGCGCCCAAAG